AAACUGACCCCGUAACACGGAUCCAUGACAGGCUGAGUCGUGUUCGCCUGAAAAGAGGGGGUUGAAAUAUACAGCAAGCUCACCAGCAACCAACAUUUGGCCUCAUGUUGGCGCUGGCUUCUGAUUGGAUAGCGAUGACCUCAACAUCGACGACUGUCCGGACACUGCGAAGGUGUGUUUGAGAGAGCGAGUCGGUGAAUCAUGAGGUAUGCUUCCACCUCCAGGCAGUGGAAGCAAGCUUCACUGACCGGUCAGCACAUUAGGUACAGCCCCACGAUCUCAGCAGAUGAUUGGUGGAGUCAUGCUGUAAUUUUCGUUGAACAAAUGCCCUUACCAUUGAUUAUCCCUGGAUUUGAAAUUUUAAUUCAGUGAUUCUUUUGUGUACCACUAGAGGGAGCUGAUACUAUAGCAUAAUUUAAUUUGCAUAAUUUAUUUACCAUUUAAAAUUUGGCCUAUUGUCUUUUCUUUUUUAUUAUUG